CUAAGACUUGACUUCAUUUUCUUUUGUUAUUUGCAUUUUUCAACAAAGUAAAAACAUAACUUUUUUGUCUCCAAGUUUCAUAGUUUUAUCGGAAUAAAUGAUAUCAUGAUUUGAUCUUUUCCCUAUUAAAAUAAAAUACACUAACUGUGGGCCUGCACCUUGUGAAUGAAUAUAUAUAACCUUAAUAUUAAUUUUUAUACUUAUGCUAAUUUAUUUAUUUAAUUAAAUAUACAUAUUAAAUCUUUUUGUGAGUUUUUUUUUCGGUUUUGUUAACCAAAUCACAAUUACUUAUUCUUUUUCUUAUUGUUUAUACAUGACUUUUUAUCUAAUUUUUUUUUUUGCUUGAUUGAAUCUAAAUUCAACCGUUUCUUCUAAUUUUAAAGAGCGGUAAUAUUUGUCUAUUUUAACAUUUUGGCUCGAUCUUGCAUCAGUUUUUUAGAGUUUUAUUUAUUUAUAUGGAGUUCUGAAUAGGGCAAAUCUCCAAAAUAGCACAUUUCUAAGUUUAUAUCACAAAAAUAGCACUCAAAAACUAAAAUGACCAAAAUAGCACAUUUCUAAGUUUAUAUCACAAAAAUAGCACUCAAAAACUAAAAUGACCAAAAUAGCACAUUUCUAAGUUUAUAUCACAAAAAUAGCACUCAAAAACUAAAAUGACCAAAAUAGCACAUUUCUAAGUUUAUCUUUUGAAAAUUUUAAUUUUUUUAUUUUUCAAAAUAUGAAAUCUUAUCCCCAAAACCUCAUUUCUCAACUCUAAACCCUAAACUCUAAACUCUAAACCCUAAACCAUAAACUCUAAACCCUAAACCCUAAAUUCUAAACCCUAAACCCUAAACCCUAAACCCUAAAAUCUAAACCCUAAACCCUAAACUCUAAACCCUAAACCCUAAACCCUAAAUCCUAAACCCCACCCUUUAACUCUAAACUC
rnacentral:lncRNA from 1 species